AAACUUAAAGGAAUUGACGGGGCCCGCACAAGCGGAGGAACAUGUGGUUAAUUCGAUGAUACGCGAGGAACCUUACCUGGGCUUAAAUGUAGAGUGCAUGAGGUAGAAAUACUUCUUUUCUUCGGAACUCUCUGCAAGGUGCUGCAUGGUUGUCGUCAGCUCGUGCCGUGAGGUGUCGGGUUAAGUCCCAUAACGAGCGCAACCCUUAUCGUUAGUUGCCAGCGGGUAAUGCCGGGGACUCUAGCGAAACUGCCGGUGUAAACCGAGAGGAAGGUGGGGAUGACGUCAAAUCAGCACGGCCCUUAUGUCCAGGGCUACACACGUGUUACAAUGGCCGGUACAGAGGGCAGCUACCUGGAGACAGGAUGCGAAUCUCGAAAGCCGGUCUCAGUUCGGAUCGGAGUCUGCAACUCGACUCCGUGGAGCUGGAUUCGCUAGUAAUCGCGCAUCAGCCAUGGCGCGGUGAAUACGUUCCCGGGCCUU
rnacentral:rRNA from 1 species